AAUUUUGUUUAUUUUAAUAAUAAAAAAAUAUUAUAAGGUAGUAAUUAACUUUAAAUUAUUUAAGAAAUUAAGAUUUAAUGAUUUAGAAAUAAAUAACUAAUUUUGUGCCAGCAGUUGCGGUUAUACAAAAAUUUAAUUAAAAUUUUUCAGUAUAUAUUAAAUAAAUUUAAAUUUAAAUUAAAAAUUAAAUUAUUAAGUGAAAUUUUAAUUUAAUAAAAAUUUAAAAAAUUAUAUGAAUUAAUAAAUUUAUAUAAAAACUAGGAUUAGAUACCCUAUUAUUAAAAUAAACAAAAUUUAUACUAAAAUAGUAAAUAAUGAUUUAUUGAAACUUAAAUAAUUUGGCGGUAUUUUAGUUCAUUUAGAGGAAUCUGUCUAAUAAUUGAUAAUCCACGAUUAAAUUUACUUAAUUUAAAAUUUUAUAUAUCGUUGUUAAAAAAAUAUUUUAAAAUAAAAAUAAUAUUUAAAAAUUAUAAUUAAAAAUUAGUUCAGAUCAAGAUGUAGAUUAUAAUUAAGAAUAUGAUGGAUUACAAUAAAUUUAUUUAAAUGAAUUUUUUUUUUUUAUUUUAAAAUAUAAAUGAAAUUGGAUUUAAAUGUAAUUUUAUUUAAUAUAAUAAAAUGAUUUUAAAUUGAAAUAUGUACAUAUUGCCCGUCGCUUUCAUUUUAAAAUUGAAAUAAGUCGUAACAAAGUAGAAGUACUGGAAAGUGUUUCUAGAAU
rnacentral:ncRNA from 1 species